rnacentral:lncRNA from 13 species
CAUUUCUCAAAGCAAAGUCCCAGACCACUUCUGCAGCAUUUACAGAAAGGCAAGCCAAAAUGUGUUCUGCCAGUAUUAGCCCACCAUUUAUCUCCUUCUUAAAAGAGAGUUGCUGUGCUGUGCAUUCUGCGUCUCUCACCCCAAAACCAGAAGGGAAGGAUUAUUGACGAUUCAUCUGAUCAUAUGAGGAGAGGCUGAAAACAAAUACUCCAAGAGCUUAGCUUCAAGUUCCUUUUCUGGAGGGAUAUGCAGAGUAGUCUGCUGAUUCAUGCUGGAAGAGUCUAAAUAUAAGAGGUUAUGGCUGGUCAGUUCCAACAGCACAAUGGAAAUGACUACUUUUUGAAUGGCCAGAGUUUCAUGGUCAAAGGAUGUGUAAAGCUCUCUAUGCCAGUUCUGGGCCUCAUGGAAGGAAGUUAGACCGCAUUACGUUGAGAGGGACAAUAUCUAAAAGGAUUUCCUGAAAGUUUAGGAGAUCUUAACAGAGAUACUGGAAUCAGAAACUAAGGCUAAGAGAGACAUCUUUAAAUUCCAAGGGUUUGUACUUGUUCUUUACAGACCUCGAGGAAUAAAGAUCUCUUAAGAAGCCACAUAAACAUCCGUGAGAGAAAGAAUCUGUGCGUGCAGUAAACUCCCCGUGAUGGAUAAUUUGACCAGAUUCAGUCCAUAUUACUAAGACUGAGUCUUGCUCUGUCACCAGGCUGGAGUACAGUGGCAUGAUCUGGGCUAAUUGCAAGCUCCAUCUUCCAAAUUCAAGUGAUUCUGCUGCCUCAGCUUCCCUAAUAACUGGGACUACAGGAUGCCAGGUAGAUUUUUACCAAACUAGAAGAUGAAUAAGCAUCAUCUGGAGUUUAUAAUGGUGACUGAUAGCACUGUGAAUCUUUGCCGUUGUGAAGAGGAUGUCACCCUAAACCUGAAAAGAAUUGUGGCCAUGCAGAGAUCUGAUGAUGACUGACAAAUCAUGUUCAGAAGUUCUGAGUACAGCAGGUACCAUCUGUGAGAAACUGAGCCUCGCAGACUUUAAAGGACAUAAUCAGCAGCUUACGGAGUAAAUGCUGCAUAAGCUGCUCUCUGAGUGAGCCCCACCUUGACAUGGCAGUAGAAAGGGAAGAUAUUGUAAUGUAAAACCCUGUAUUUAUAUAGAUCAUUCCUUGAAAAGCUCUUAAAUCCUUAACAGAUUCUGAGCUCAUCAAUCCUUAAAUUCCAAUGGAAUAAGAAUUAUAGAGGCAUGUAAUUCUCAAAAUAAUUAUUUAGUAUCCAAAAAAGACAAUUUUCUAUUAGCCUCUCUGUUUUAUGAAUACUUAUGUGAUCUUGAUAAGGGGAUUACUUUUGUUAGAUAAACUCAAUAUCCAGGGAAUUUUGAAAAAAAAAAAUAGUACAGAGAUUUAUCCUGUUUUAAUAUACAUAUUUCUGUAAGGUUCUUUAAAUCCUUUUUUGAACUCUGUAGUAAGUAAACAAACACACGUUCAAAGUGGUAAAUUACUGCAUUUAGGUGGAAUUCAUGAUAAUUCAUCCACAAAUGAUAGCACAAGUCUACCAGAUGUGCUUACUGGGAGCAACACAUUUCCUAAAUAACUAAUUGGUUAUAUGCAAUGUUGCUAAUUUGUCUUUUCUAUAUUUUCAUUUAUAUCCAUUGCUAAUGUCAUUACAUUAGCAGAGGUCCUCUCAGCAUCCCCAUACAACACUCAGUCUCCACUAUCCUCAGAAUGCAAGAUUCAACAUACCAAGGAUCAAGGUGCUAAAAUCAUACCUGGCUUACAUUAGAGAUUAAAUACGUAUUUGUCAAGGGAAUGAACAGAUGAAUACAUGAGAAAUGAAUAAAAUGAUUUCCUAACAUUCUGUCUUGCA